GGCCCCAUCGUCUAACGGUCAGGACGCUAGGUUCUCAUCCUGGAAAUCGGGGUUCGAUUCCCCGUGGGGUCA
rnacentral:tRNA from 1 species